rnacentral:Y_RNA from 1 species
GGCUGGUCUGAAGGUAAUGAGUUAUCUCACUUGAUUGUUCACAAUCAGUUAUAAAUGGAACUCCUUCUUCUACUACUUUCAGCUCUCCUCCCUACUGCACUUGACUAGUCUUAA